rnacentral:rRNA from 1 species
ACACAUGCAAGUCGAGCGGUAGAGAGAAGCUUGCUUCUCUUGAGAGCGGCGGACGGGUGAGUAAUGCCUAGGAAUCUGCCUGGUAGUGGGGGAUAACGUUCGGAAACGGACGCUAAUACCGCAUACGUCCUACGGGAGAAAGCAGGGGACCUUCGGGCCUUGCGCUAUCAGAUGAGCCUAGGUCGGAUUAGCUAGUUGGUGAGGUAAUGGCUCACCAAGGCGACGAUCCGUAACUGGUCUGAGAGGAUGAUCAGUCACACUGGAACUGAGACACGGUCCAGACUCCUACGGGAGGCAGCAGUGGGGAAUAUUGGACAAUGGGCGAAAGCCUGAUCCAGCCAUGCCGCGUGUGUGAAGAAGGUCUUCGGAUUGUAAAGCACUUUAAGUUGGGAGGAAGGGCAGUUGCCUAAUACGUAACUGUUUUGACGUUACCGACAGAAUAAGCACCGGCUAACUCUGUGCCAGCAGCCGCGGUAAUACAGAGGGUGCAAGCGUUAAUCGGAAUUACUGGGCGUAAAGCGCGCGUAGGUGGUUUGUUAAGUUGGAUGUGAAAUCCCCGGGCUCAACCUGGGAACUGCAUUCAAAACUGACUGACUAGAGUAUGGUAGAGGGUGGUGGAAUUUCCUGUGUAGUGGUGAAAUGCGUAGAUAUAGGAAGGAACACCAGUGGCGAAGGCGACCACCUGGACUGAUACUGACACUGAGGUGCGAAAGCGUGGGGAGCAAACAGGAUUAGAUACCCUGGUAGUCCACGCCGUAAACGAUGUCAACUAGCCGUUGGAAGCCUUGAGCUUUUAGUGGCGCAGCUAACGCAUUAAGUUGACCGCCUGGGGAGUACGGCGCAAGGUUAAAACUCAAAUGAAUUGACGGGGGNCGCACAAGCGGUGGAGCAUGUGGUUUAA